GGGGAUUUAGCUCAGUGGUAGAGCGCUUGCCUAGAAAGCAAAAGGCCCUGGGUUCGGUCCCCAGCUCCG
rnacentral:tRNA from 1 species